rnacentral:rRNA from 1 species
GACGAAGGCUGGCGGCGUGCCUAAUACAUGCAAGUAGAACGCUGAAGAGAGGAGCUUGCUCUUCUUGGAUGAGUUGCGAACGGGUGAGUAACGCGUAGGUAACCUGCCUUGUAGCGGGGGAUAACUAUUGGAAACGAUAGCUAAUACCGCAUAACAAUGGAUGACACAUGUCAUUUAUUUGAAAGGGGCAAUUGCUCCACUACAAGAUGGACCUGCGUUGUAUUAGCUAGUAGGUGAGGUAAUGGCUCACCUAGGCGACGAUACAUAGCCGACCUGAGAGGGUGAUCGGCCACACUGGGACUGAGACACGGCCCAGACUCCUACGGGAGGCAGCAGUAGGGAAUCUUCGGCAAUGGGGGCAACCCUGACCGAGCAACGCCGCGUGAGUGAAGAAGGUUUUCGGAUCGUAAAGCUCUGUUGUAAGCCAAGAACGGGUGUGAGAGUGGAAAGUUCACACUGUGACGGUAGCUUACCAGAAAGGGACGGCUAACUACGUG